GCCGGGAUGACAGAGUGGCCAUGUGGCGGACUGCAGAUCCGCAUACGGGAGUUCAAUUCUCCCUCCCGGCCCCA
rnacentral:tRNA from 1 species